rnacentral:lncRNA from 1 species
GUUCUUCUUUCUACCUUUCUAAGAUUCCACCAUGUUGCUUGUUUAGUUCAACCAGUGCUGAUAGGGACACGUUUGCACUUGUCUCUCAGUGAACAUUCGCAAGAGAUUUUCUAGGCCUCCAGGCAGAAGCCGCUGCUGACGGGGAGAGUCUGCUGGAGGAAGUCACAUGGCAGAUGCCAGAGGACCAGCCUGGGAGAGGCUUUCUAGCAACCAGGACACCUGCCGCAGUGCCACGCUUUCUCCAGGAAACAAGGACAGCUGCACGGGUGCCCACACGAGAGUCGGCGACCAGCCUCGGCGGUGGGGUUCCUGCAACGCGUGUUCCUGCUGGGGUUCUCCUUUCUGCUGUUCCGAGCUACAGUGCGGAUCAUGCUCCCCAUACGUGGAGUCCAGGGACAGCACAGCCCGGGGACUGCCCAGCCAGCCAGGAAGUCUGGCUUUCAGAGAACUGGGAAGACCAUCUUCCACUUUAUCCCAUCUGGGAGACUGUAAACAUGGAUUCCACUGUCUCGGACAGUGAGACGAUUCCCAGUCUUUUCCUGUUCCUCCUCUAGAUGCUGUCUUGGACGCAGUGAAGUCUGCCGAUGGCUGUUUCAGAGCCGUUAGGAUGGUGAAGUGAGACAAUGUGAAUGGAGUGUUUUGUGAGGCUCAGUGCUGCAUAAAUGCUAGCCAUUAUCUAAUAGCAAGAAUUCCUUGAAAUGUUUCUUUCUCUCAAAUUUAUGAAAAGAUUAGAAAAUAGUUCUAAAAAUUAAAAAUGCUUCUGGUCGGAGCGGCUUACAUGAUGGCAGUGAAAGUGUGCAGCUUCAUGGGUCCCACUGCGUGCACUUGGCAUGGAGAGAACGAAAUGUGGAGGCCAGCGAUACCAAGAACACCCCUGUGAGCCGCGCUGGGUGCAGCCCCCACGGCCGGCGGGCAGUGACACCGCAGUUUCCUCUCCUGCCGGCAUCCACGCUUCCUGUGCCCAGGUGCUGGAAGCUCAGUCUUCAUGUCCCCUUCUCAGUUAUGUGUCUGUAGGGCUGGGACAGGGAAGGAAGUCAGUGAAGCUGGUUGGAUCUUCCAAGGGAUGCUCUGUGUGCAAGGCUCGGGGACAAGGAUGGCUGGGGGAGUCAGACUGUCAGUGAAGCUGAGGGGCGGAUGGAGCCUCACCACGCCUGAGUCCCUGUUUUCCAGCUGCAGAUGCUGACCCUCCAGAGCUUUGUUUACCAGCCCCUGUGACUGCGAUCUGGAGUCAGCCAGGCGUUCCUCCUUGUCCGGUAGAUUUUAUUAAGUGCUCAAUGUGUGCCAAGCCAAAUGUCCGUUUGACUUACUGCAUGUCCGAGAAGCGAUGCCGUUGAAGGAAUUUCCUCCCCAAGCCUGAAGGAAUUGAACACCAGGAAUGACUGGAACCCUGGAGAGAGAGAACUGGAUUUCUGGAGGAAAAUCACUCGUUUUAAGGAAGCAGCAUCCUGGACCCUUGAGGCCCUGGAGGAAGCGGGCAGCACAGCUCGGAGGCGGGUGUGGCUGGAGGACGGCCGUCGCACCUGCGAAAUUCUGUCUGUGGUACGUGGUUCCUUCCUGGCUCUGGGAACCACCUGGAUACUUGCAUUCUUCCCUUUUCCUUUCUAUUCUCUUUCAAGUCACCCUCCUUGAGACAGCCCUCCAGUCCAGGCCAAAUCUCAGCCUGCCCUUGGUCCGCUGUGGUUGGGCCUGCACCCAAGCCAUGAGCACACGCAGCAAUUGUGGCAGCAGAAGCUUCCUCUGGGCUCAGACUCAGGCUGAUGCUGCGUCAGGACCUGCCGCGGUCUCGGCUGGGCUUCCUGGGACUCGGUGGUUGUGGGCUGAUUGUAAAGCACGGAAUGACUCUUAGAAACUGGGCGUCAUUCUUUGUGGUUUUCCAAGCUUGGUCUCUGAUGAUACUCCAGGUCUUAGGAGACAUGCUGAAUAUUUAUUAUGCUUACAUUCAAGCAACAUUAACCCUUAAGGUUGAUGUAGCUCCCCGUCUUUUUUUCCCAGAAGGAGGAGCACUGAAGGAACACUUUUCCAGUAUGGAUUCUUUCCAGCUCCGAGAAGCUGGAGGCACACGGAUCCCUCGGCCAGCUCUCAUCUAUGGACGUGCUGUAGUCACAAGGACUGUGACUAAGGCUCAGUCCCUGAAGAGUGCCUUGGCAUGGGCUGCUUUAGGCUGUAAACACCCAGUUUUAUCCACUUUAUGUGAAGAAAGCCAACAAGGGGCAUGGAGUGAGUUCCGCAGGUUUUAGUGGCUGCGGAGGCUGGUGCUCAGUGGGGAUGAUGGAGGGAAGGCGCCUCCCUCUGCGGGCCCCGAGGUCUGUGCGGGAAUCAGCUCUGCAGUUGUGUCCAGGGGCAGCCGUAGACCACACACGGCAGGCUCACAGCUCUGUUCCAUGAGAACUUUAUACACAAAAGCAGACGGGCUGGCUUGGCCUCUGGAUCAUAAUCUGCUGACCCCUGGGGCAACGUUGGCUGCAGCGGAGAUGGCUGCUCCCCGGUGGGGUGUGUGCUCAGCCCGCAGCCCCCGCCCUCCGGACUCCGUUCGCCUCUGCUCUCAGCUUUGCACCUCGUCAUUGUCUUCUAAUUGUGCAUCCCUGGACUGCGUGACCUACAAGGCUCUCAGCACAACAAGACUCUAUGAUUCUGUCUAUUGGAACAAAAAGCCAGUGAGGCAAGUGUAUCAUCCUGUUGAUGAAUUCACAGAAUUAACUCUGGGAGUUGGGGACAGUUUGUAUUCUUCUUCCAGACACUCUCUGUUUCUGCUGGAUGGAAAGGUUCUGCUACUUGUCCUGUGGUCAGGCCCAGCUGAUGGAAUGGAAUGGAAGUGACUCAGCCCCUUACUGGCAGAAACUUUAAAAGCCGCACAACAUUCCUGCACCCUCCCCUCUGCCAUGAGCCUGGCAGUGCUCAGGAUGGGAAAAUUAUUUCACCUGGGCCUGAGGAUACAGGAGCUACUCCCAGCGUGCAGUGGAAGAGAAGCAUGGGCAAGUAAUUAAACUUUGUGUUUUCAAGCCACAGAGGUUUUUUGAGGUUGUUUGCUACCAUGCUUUGUCCCUACAAACACAGUCAUGGAGAAGGCCAGUGGCAGAGCCUGAGCCGUUCGUGCAUCUGUUCACCAGCAUCCAGAAUAACAAUAGAUUUUUGAAACAUUCCUGAGAAAAUUCUGGGAGUUGCAUACCGGCCAGUCUUAUUCCCUAAAGUUGUUCCUUCUAAAGGGUGGGAUGACCAAAAAUUUCAGAAAAGCAAACCACCGCUGAAAGGCAACGUUAUUUCUGUUGGCAGAAGGCGGCCUGAGCAAUCUAGAUUUUCCACGGUUCACCAACUAGUUUUUAAGGAAAUAUGGCUGUGAGAGGAAUAAAACAUAAUUCCUACCUUUAAGGAACUCAGAGAAGUGAAUUAAAGGAAGUCACAGAUCAGGCAACCAACCACACAAAGUUUCUAAGAGCAAACUGUUCAGGUCGGCAAGUCACUCUUAUCCACUGUUUUGCCUUCUGAGGUUUCAGUUACUCUCAGUCAGUCAUGGUCCAAAAACAUUAAAUGAAAAAUUCCAGAAAUAAAC